rnacentral:lncRNA from 1 species
AGCUUCAAGGGCGGGCUUUCGUUGUUAUCAAGUAACAAAGCGCUGACAGAGAUCUCCAGAUUCGCUUCGAGUUUCUUGCAGUUCCCAAAUCAAGAUAAUCAUGGUUAUGAUGAUGAUGAUGAUGAUGGUGAUGGUGAUGAUGAUGAUGGUGAUGAUGAUGAUGGAGUUCCGGGAAUUACGGAAGAGGUGGUUGAAUUUGUUCAAGAAAUUUCCAACUGCCCAGAGUUCUGGACUGAAUUUCCUCUCUCACUAAAUAACGGU